rnacentral:rRNA from 1 species
AGCUCCAAUAGCGUAUAUUAAAGUUGCUGCAGUUAAAAAGCUCGUAGUUGCAUUUCCGAGGCAAGGGAUUAGUCCGACCUUUGGUGGGUAUUUAAUCCUCUUGCCUCGUCCUUGAGUGGUGCUUCUUGGUAUUAAGUUAUCGAGGAGAUAGCCGCUCAUCGUUUACUGUGAGAAAAUUAGAGUGUUCAAAGCAGGCUUAUGCCGUUGAAUAUAUUAGCAUGGAAUAAUAAGAUAGGACCUCGGUACUAUUUUGUUGGUUUGAGAACCAAGGUAAUGAUGAAUAGGGACAGUUGGGGGUAUUCGUAUUCAGUUGUCAGAGGUGAAAUUCUUAGAUUUACGGAAGACGAACUACGGCGAAAGCAUGGACCAAGGAUGUUUUCA